ACCGCCGCCCAAUAGGAGCGCCCCUCUUCUUCGUCACGUGCUCCUCCUCCUCGGCGGCGCUGCGGAGUUGACCUUUCACCCCAAGAUGGCGGCGCCCGUCGGUCCGAUGAAGUUUUGGAAACCAGGUACAGAUGGACCAGGUGCCAGUCUCUCAGAGGAAAGGCAGAGUCCUGCUGAAAGUACUAGUGUUUCAGUCAUCUACAACCCAUAUGUUUCUCUUUCUAUUGAACAACAGAGGCAAAAGCUACCAGUUUUUAAGCUGAGAAAUCACAUCCUUUAUCUGGUAGAAAACUAUCAAACACUGGUGAUUGUUGGAGAAACAGGAUGUGGGAAAAGCACUCAGAUUCCCCAGUAUCUAAUGGAAGCUGGCUGGACUGCAGAAGGUCGAGUAGUGGGAGUAACACAGCCUCGCAGAGUUGCAUGUGUUUCAAUUGCAGGCCGAGUAGCUGAGGAGAGGGGUGCCUUGCUAGGUCAUGAAGUUGGGUAUUGCAUCCGAUUUGAUGAUUGUACUGAUCCACAGACUACAAGGAUCAAGUUCCUGACUGAUGGGAUGCUAGUGAGGGAAAUGAUGGCUGACCCAUUAUUAACAAGAUAUAGUGUAAUCAUGUUGGAUGAAGCUCAUGAAAGAACGUUGUAUACAGACAUUGCCAUUGGUUUGCUAAAAAAGGUUCAAAAGAAACGAGGAGAUCUUCGUCUAAUUGUAGCAUCGGCAACACUGGAUGCAGAGAAAUUUAGGGAUUUCUUUAAUCAAAAUGAGACGAGUGACCCAAGCAAAGAUACCAGCAUGAUCCUUACUGUGGAAGGACGAACAUUUCCAGUGGAUGUCUUCUACAUUCAGAGGCGCAGACUUCAGUGGAGGAGGGCUUCGGGAACCUUCCCCCGUCCCCUUUUGCACCGGCCAGCUGGAGCAGACUUCAGACGAGUGCUACGGGGACUCGGUGGAAUCUUCAUGCUUUUCCUCCCCUGGAAUCUUAGUCCUCCCCUUCCCCCUCCACAGAAGGGAUAUGGGCAAACCUGGCAGCAUCUUCAUGCCCUCUCUCCUCCUCCACAAAAGGAGAUGGACAGUCCUGUUCCAGAUUAUGUGAAAUCAACUGUGGAAACUGUCAUGAAAAUUCAUCAGACAGAAGGUGAUGGGGAUAUUCUGGCAUUUUUAACUGGCCAGGAGGAGGUAGAAACUGUUGUUUCAAUGCUGAUAGAACAGGCACGGAUCUUUGCUCGCACAGGAAUGAAGAAACACCUGCGCGUUCUUCCUAUGUAUGCUGGGUUACCUGCUUCUGAACAGAUGAAAGUGUUUGAGAGAGUAUCUCAUAAUGUUAGAAAGGUUAUAGUGGCCACUAAUAUUGCAGAAACAUCUAUUACAAUCAAUGGCAUUUCAUUUGUGAUUGACUGUGGUUUUGUGAAGCUCCGUGCAUAUAAUCCAAAAACAGCAAUUGAAUGCCUUGUGGUUGUUCCAGUAUCGAAGGCCUCAGCGAAUCAGAGGGCAGGUCGGGCAGGUCGAAACCGUUCAGGAAAAUGCUACAGACUUUAUACAGAGGAAGAUUUUGAGAAGUUGCCACAAUCCACUAUUCCUGAGAUGCAGCGCAGUAACCUAGCACCAGUCAUUCUCCAGCUGAAAGCUUUAGGAAUUGACAAUGUGCUCAGGUUUCCUUUCCUCUCACCUCCACCUGCUCAGUCAAUGGUGCAAGCUUUGGAGCUACUCUAUGCAUUAGGAGGGCUUGAUAAAUAUUGCCGUCUCACUGAACCUCUUGGAAUUAGGAUAGCAGAAUUCCCUUUGAAUCCCAUGUUUGCUAAGAUGCUCCUAGAAUCAGGGAAUUUUGGUUGCUCCCAGGAGAUUCUGAGCAUUGCUGCCAUGAUGCAGAUCCAGAACAUCUUUACAAUUCCUCCAAACCAGAAGACACAAGCUACCAGAGAACACAGAAAAUUUGCUGUUGAAGAGGGUGACCAUCUCACUAUGCUUAAUGUCUAUGAAGCUUUUAUCAAACACAACAAGAAUUCUCAGUGGUGCCAAGAUCAUUUUUUAAACUACAAAGGCCUCGUCAGAGCCACAGCUGUCAGAGAACAGCUGAAAAAACUUCUUGUCAAGUUCAAAGUACCAAAAAAAUCCUGUGAAGGUGAUCCAGAUCCUGUUCUAAGGUGCAUAGUUUCUGGAUUCUUUGCUAACGCAGCCAGGUUUCACUCUACAGGGGCCUACAGGACUAUUCGUGAUGACCAUGAACUUCAUAUCCAUCCCACCUCAGUGCUGUAUGCGGAGAAGCCCCCUCGUUGGGUAGUAUACAAUGAAGUCAUACAGACCUCAAGAUACUACAUGCGAGAUGUAACAGCUAUUGAAUCUGCUUGGCUGUUGGAACUGGCUCCUCACUUCUACCAGCAAGGAACGGUACGGACUCGACAUAGACUCCAAACGCACCUUUCCCUGAAAGCCAAAAGGACUAAAGUUGAUGACCAUUGACUCGCCAUUGCUGUUCAAGUCUACAGUGUGUGAUGCUGAACUUGCUACCAAUUUGAAACUCCUACUGUCCAUCCAACACAGUUCACAGAUUGCCUUCUUUGAAGGUGAAAUGAUAUGUUCAGCAGGCACUGAUUAAACUGCAUCGGCUUGCCUUCCUACAAAAACUCCCUUCAUUGUACCAGAAGUAUAGUUUUAGAUAAGUAUAUAUUUAUUUUCAAAUAUUGUUUAUUUUAGGAUGAUUUUUUGAAUGCUUGGAUUUGUGCUUGUUUUUAGAAGAUUUGUUUUGUUGAAUGACUUGUUCUCUUCCCCCUGUUUUAAAUGUAUGUAAAUGAUUAAGGGUUUUGUUUUUGUUUUUACACAGAAUAAGGGUUUUCCUUGACCUGGAUGUGCAUUAUAAGCCACCUUUUCAAAUCUUCCUUCUCAUUCUGCUCUCCAUAAAUUUUCAGAAAAGCUUGUUCUGUCAAUAUGUGGUUUGUGCAGUUUCUCUGUGCUGUAUAUAUCAUCAGCUUCACAAAAUGCAUUCCAUCUUUUGGAUUUCUGAUGCAGAUCUCUUUCUCUCUCCUCCUCCCUUCUCCUUCCCUAUGGUAGUUGAGCUCUUUUGAGCUGGGGUUGUCUUUUAUUCUUGUGGAAUGUGUGGUGUUCAGAAUAUUGUUGGUGCGCCAUAAUGGGCAUUUAAUUGUAAAGCUGUUUUCCCUUUAAAGGAGCUUACAAAGUCCUGGAUGCAAAGUGUGUAAACAUCCAUGUUGUUUUGUCCUCUGUUAACACACUCUAGGGGGAAAAUAAAGUUGUGGAAUCAAGUAAUCUA